rnacentral:rRNA from 1 species
AUACGGAGGGGGCUAGCGUUGUUCGGAAUUACUGGGCGUAAAGCGCACGUAGGCGGAUUAAAAAGUUAGAGGUGAAAUCCCAGGGCUUAACCCUGGAACUACCUUUAAAACUAGUAGUCUAGAGUUCGAGAGAGGUGAGUGGAAUUCCAAGUGUAGAGGUGAAAUUCGUAGAUAUUUGGAGGAACACCAGUGGCGAAGGCGGCUCACUGGCUCGAUACUGACGCUGAGGUGCGAAAGCGUGGGGAGCAAACAGGAUUAGAAACCCCAGUAGUCC